GCCCCCAAACGGUAACAGCUCAAAAUGCUGUCCUUUUGCAUCAAUGUUAUUAUCCAUAAACCUCUCUGGGAGAAACACUUCAGGGUCUUUCCAGGUAUCGGGAUCACGCCCGAUAGCCCAUACAUUUACAUGAAGCCGUGUCUUGACAGGAAUUGUGUAGCCGUUGAUCUCGAAUUCAGACAUUGCUUCUCUUGGGAGGAGGAUAGGUGUUGGAGGGUGUAACCUCCACGUUUCUUUGAUCACCAUUUUGAGGUACUCAAGCUGAUCUGUGUCAUGGAAGCUGAUUCUUUCUUUGUUCUUGAUUUGGCUUCUGAUUUCAGAUUGAACUUUUUUCAUCACUCGUGGAUUCUUCGCGAGUUCUGCCAUCGCCCAUGUCAUGGUUAUUGCAGAAGUAUCGAUUCCUGCUAGCAGAACAUUCUGUAACAAGAACAUAUCAACAUUAAAUUUCAAAAUUUUCCUACAAUUGGAUUGUGAAUCUAUGGUUAGUUUACCAUCAAGAUUGCUUUGAUAUGGUUUCUAGUGAGCUUGUCAUUUCCAAGAACAGCUUCUUCUUUCUCCAACCUCAACAACAAGUCCACGAAGUCUUCACUACCUUCUUCCUUGUCCUGUUUAUGGAGAUCAAACAUUUGUUCAUAAAAGGCAUCAAGAUCUCUCAUGCUUGUCUCUCUCCGACCUCGCAAACCUGUAAGCCUGUCAAUGAUCCAUCCGACAUACGGAAUGAAAUCUGAAGCAGAAAAGCUUCCCAACAUCUCGAGCGCCUCACGGACUAUUUUAUUGAAUCUGUCACUGUUGAGGACAGUACCCUCAAAAUUCACACUAAACGCUGUCCUGCAUACUACACUUACAGUUAAAGCAAGAAAUGUCUUGUUCAAGUUAACCGGAGACUUCUGAGAGGCUGAUUCUGCGAUUGAAUAGAUCAGUUUCUUGACCUCCUCAUCCUUCAUGGGUUGAAUCGAGUGAACUUGUUUAGCAUUGAAGAGUUCCUGAACAGCGAGCUUCCUUACUUCUUUCCAGUAAUCAUCAUAAGGUGAGAAAGCUAUGUCCAGAUAGUUGUAAGAGAGCUCUCUUGGCCCUAAAGAAUGAAUCAAGAUUCAAGAAAUUCAAAAUUCAAGAUUCAAUAUUAUAAAAAGUGUUGAUCAAACUUGAUGAAACAUAAAGGCUUGAGGCCCAAGAAACUUAUAAACAAGUCGGUUUAUAAGUCGGUGUAUUUGUGAUCUUAUCUUAAAUGUGUUUAGGGUUAUGUUUUAGUAUAAAUAGAGGUGCCAAGUUUGUGGCUAACCCUAUGAGUUGUUUUGAGAUUAAGAAAGAUUGUGUAACCUUUGUUUUGAGUUAGUUUCAAAGGUAAUAAGAGGAGUGGUUCUUAUAAACACAAAGUCUUGAUCAUUAGGGUUUGAUUCUUAGUUCUUAAUUCAAUAAAAAGGUGAGAAAGCAAUCAAUCAAGAUUCAAGAUUCAGGAUUCAAGAUUCAAGAUUCAAGAUUCAAGAUUCAAGAUUCAAGGGUUUUGUUGAACAGAGGAACAGAAAUUUUAAAUUGUAGUACCUGCCAUGCCCGGACGACUACAACAAUGGAGGUCAUGGAUUUUCAAAGCUUGUUUUGCUGUUUCGGAGGUAGAAACUAUGACUGUUGGCACACUUCCAAGCUUCAAAAGCAUCACAGGAUCAUACUUUUUGGAGAGACUCCAUAGAGACUGAUGUGGUAAUUCUCCAAGCUGAUGCAAGUUUCCGAUGAUCGGAAAGCCUGGUGGAGACGGUGGUGUCCGUUGGUAAUUCCUCCGCUUCUUGUGGUUGAACACGGCUACAAUAAUACAGAUGAAGAAGAAAAGUGAGAGAAGCCAAAUGUUAGGCAUUUCUUAUUCUAUUGCAGCUAAAGGAACUCCAUAAGGGGUCGUCUAUAUUAUAUUACUGUCUUCAAUUAUUUUAAAUAUAUAUUCUCUGUAACGUUAACUUAAUUUUAUAUUCAAAAAAACUAUUUUUUGUCUUUGAAAAGUUGGCAGAAGUUAAUUGGAUAAUAUCAAGAACUAACCAUAGAAGACUCGAAGAUUAACUGACACUAUUAAACACUGUUUGGUCAAUGAUUUUUUAUUGUUUUUAAUUUGUUUAAUUUUCAUUCUUCUCUCUCCUUGCCUCUUUCUUGGACGAAGUGCUUCAUCAUGAAAUUGACAUGAACAAAAUUUUUAAUGGAGAAAUAAAAUAAAAUCAGAAUUAAACCAAAUUUCAAUAAACCAUUGUUGUGGAAAAAAGGUGAUCUAAACUCAACAAAUUAUUUAAUUAAGACAAAACAAACUCAACAAAAUCUCUUGCAUUUUUUUUUGAAUACUAGGAGGUUCUGGGCCAAAGCCUGUAAUCUCUCCAGAUCCGAAACCACAUCAUGUAAUAUUAGUUUUCUCCCAAACGUCGCUUGAACCGGCGACCUCUAAGCUUCGCCUAGGGUUUCAACAAAAUCUCUUGCAUUGGAUUGGAAUAAAACAUUGCUAGUUUAAUUCAUAUGGCUCCAUCUGAUUAAAAAGAAGAAGAAGAAGAAGCAAAUUACACACUUCAGUGAUCGUUACUUUUUUGGAUUCAUAUAACAUUGACAUCAUCUUUUAUAGCUAUGCAUAGGGAAAUGAAUUAUUCAUGUUCUUAACAUAUUUUUAAAUAACAUUGACAUCGUUUUAAUAUUUUGUGUAGUGAAACGCUAUAUUCUGAUUUUUAGCCAUUGCGCGAAGAGACGCCUCUAGCCCAUUUGAAAAAUAUUAUGGUCGUCAUUUCUUAUAGCAAAAUGACAUAUUAUUAUUUGUAUAGCUUUGUGUCAACCCAACAUUUUUCUUCUUCUGAGACUUAGCAUGCUUUAAAUCUAGUGCUUCUCCGACUUUUUAUACUAAAUUUAUUUGACCAAAUAGUGAAUUUGUAAGCGUCUUUUUCUGCUUGGAUCAUGGUACUGAUUUACACGUCCAUAUAAGAUAAUAGAUUCAAAAUUUCAAACACAUUUUCUUGUUAGGUCUUAGCUUGAUGUUCAAUGUUUGUGAACAAAUCUUGUGAAAGAGAAAAAAUGAAGAGUUGCAACCAUGUGAUCAUACAAGACCAUCUCAUCUGGGAACCAAAUUCAACCGAUUAGAAUCUUGAGAGCGCAAAUUACAAAAUCGUAAUGCGUUAAUCAGUUGUUUUAAAAAGAAGAUGUUCUUUUAUUUUAUUCCGUCUUAUAAAACAUCAAACGAAAAUGAGAUUUUGUUUUGUCUUUUUGUUCCUUGUGAUGAACGUUAGCUUAAGGAUCUAGAUACUUCGUGGGGACAAGUAGAAGCUCGUUUUUCUUGUUGACAGUGAGUCCGGGAGCUUCUUCCAUGUCGAUAUCUUCAACCUUCAUGCCUUCUGGUAACUUCCAGUCAAAAUGAUACAACAGAUUAGCCAGACCAAACUCUACCAGUGUUGUCCCCAUAUAAACGGCAGGACACAUUCUCCGGCCGCCCCCAAACGGUAACAGCUCAAAAUGCUGUCCUUUUGCAUCAAUGUUACUAUCCAUAAACCUCUCUGGAAGAAACACUUCAGGGUCUUUCCAGGUAUUGGGAUCACGCCCGAUAGCCCAGACAUUUACAUGAAGCCGUGUCUUGACAGGAAUCGUGUAGCCGUUGAUCUCAAAUUCAGACAUUGCUUCUCUUGGGAGCAAAAGAGGUGUUGUAGGAUGUAAUCUCCAUGUUUCUUUGAUAACCAUUUUGAGGUACUCGAGCUGAUCUGUGUCAUGGAAGCUGAUUCUUUCUUUGUUCUUGAUUUGGCUUCUGAUUUCAGAUUGAACUUUUUUCAUCACUCGCGGAUUCUUCGCGAGUUCUGCCAUCGCCCAUGUCAUGGUUAUUGCAGAAGUAUCGAUUCCUGCUAGCAGAACAUUCUGUAACAAGAACAUAUAAACAUUAAAUUUUCAAAUUUUUCUUACUAUUGAAUUGUGAAUCUAUGAUUUAGUUACCAUCAAG
rnacentral:lncRNA from 1 species